rnacentral:rRNA from 1 species
GUGGGGAAUCUUGCGCAAUGGGCGAAAGCCUGACGCAGUCAUGCCGCGUGAAUGAUGAAGGUCUUAGGAUUGUAAAAUUCUUUCACCGGGGACGAUAAUGACGGUACCCGGAGAAGAAGCUCCGGCUAACUUCGUGCCAGCAGCCGCGGUAAUACGAAGGGGGCUAGCGUUGCUCGGAAUUACUGGGCGUAAAGGGCGCGUAGGCGGACAGCUUAGUCAGAGGUGAAAGCCCAGGGCUCAACCUUGGAAUUGCCUUUGAUACUGGCUGUCUUGAGUUUGGGAGAGGUGAGUGGAACUCCGAGUGUAGAGGUGAAAUUCGUAGAUAUUCGGAAGAACACCAGUGGCGAAGGCGACUCACUGGCCCAAUACUGACGCUGAGGCGCGAAAGCGUGGGGAGCAAACAGGAUUAGAUACCCUUGUAGUCC